rnacentral:lncRNA from 1 species
CAUGACAGCAGCAUGAAAUACCCCAUGUUUUACAUGAACAGGCACAAGGUUGGUGUUUUAUAUGAAUGCCACAUUUGCAUGGGAUUGGAACAGGAGCAGGACUGAAACAUCCAUCCUGUGGAAACGUCCCCCUGCUGGAUUUAUAUGGGCGGGAGCGGGACAAAAUAUGACAUCGUUUUGUCCUAAACUCCCAUGGGAGAAGCGUGCGUUCCCACUCAUUGGGGAAGAAGAGGAGGCUCUGGGGUCUGAUGGUGAAGAAGAAGAGGAGGAGCCGCUGGCCACGGCCUGGUCGGAGGGGGAGGGCAGCAACUCCACUGGAAGCUACAGCGGCUCUGAGCUGGCUGGCCCCACAGCGCCCUCCAGUGGACGUAGGAGGAAGCGCACAUGGAAGACUCCCAGACUGCACAGCUGACGUCUGAGGUUGCCAUGGCGUCCUGAACCCA